rnacentral:rRNA from 1 species
GACGAACGCUGGCGGCGUGCCUAAUACAUGCAAGUUGAGCGCUGAAGGUUGGUACUUGUACCAACUGGAUGAGCAGCGAACGGGUGAGUAACGCGUGGGGAAUCUGCCUUUGAGCGGGGGACAACAUUUGGAAACGAAUGCUAAUACCGCAUAAAAACUUUAAACACAAGUUUUAAGUUUGAAAGAUGCAAUUGCAUCACUCAAAGAUGAUCCCGCGUUGUAUUAGCUAGUUGGUGAGGUAAAGGCUCACCAAGGCGAUGAUACAUAGCCGACCUGAGAGGGUGAUCGGCCACAUUGGGACUGAGACACGGCCCAAACUCCUACGGGAGGCAGCAGUAGGGAAUCUUCGGCAAUGGACGAAAGUCUGACCGAGCAACGCCGCGUGAGUGAAGAAGGUUUUCGGAUCGUGAAACUCUGUUGGUAGAGAAAGAAACGUUGGUGAGAAGUGGAAAAGCUCAUC